rnacentral:piRNA from 1 species
AAGAGUGAUAAAGGAGCUGCAGUA